rnacentral:lncRNA from 10 species
CUUCUCCUCAGUUACUUUUAGCUUAAAAUAAUCUUUAUGCCAAAGUGGCAUAUUUGGGGGUGGCAUAUUCUGCCACCCUUCAGAAUCCAGAAAUUCAGAUAACUCGGUAUCAAGUAUUCAGGUAUUCAGAUAUCUAGGUAUUCAGGUAUUCUGAGCUAAAGCUCUUCUUUUGGAAUUGUUUUUCAAAAUCCUACUAGUUUUUUUUUUUUUUUUUAGAUAUCAUCUGGCAUGUGGACCACUCCCCAGCUGUCUCUACUUUCUUCUGAACAAACUACAUGGAAGAAUUCGUGGAGACAUUUCAAGUGGAGGUGGGAGAAAGUAAGUGCUCAGAAGAAAGAAGAGGAAUGGCUUCCAUAGAAGACAUUUUAGGGAAGCUACCUUAAAAAGUAUCUAUCCCAUGAAGUUAGCCAUCUCAUAAAUGCAAGUACUCUCUCUAUGAAAGCUAUAACUGUGAAAAGAACAUCAGACUUGGUGUUAAGAAAUCUGUAUGUGGCUUCCAGGCUUGCCAUUGUUUUAGCUGCAUGAUUUGUCAAGUUUAUGAGUGCCAAUAUUUUCAUCACAGUGAUCCUUAUGUCCAGUCAUUAUUGUGAUAACUGAAUGACAUUACACAUAUGAAACUGUCUAGUUUAGCACCGGUGUAUGUUAGACAUUCUGUAAAUGUUAGCUGGAUCUAGUUGGCCAAGAAGUCCCUAAGGGAAAAAAAAGAGGUUGGUCUGGUGAAUUUGGGUAACCCACUUCCCUCCAGGCUAGAAAAUAACACAAAAGAUCCUUUUCCUGAUAAUCUCCAUUUAUAAAAGACACAGUAUCAAUGUGUUCUAUCUGUUCUUCAGUGGGUUAGUUGGCUAUGGAUAUUCUAUGCAGUGCUUAAUCAACCUUGCCAGUUCAUUAGGAUCUGUGGAGCAGCGUCACAGCCUUCCAAAGGAAGAUGGAUGGUGGCUGGCUUGCUCACACAAUAGGAAGCUGCACAUCAGCUGAAAAGUGUACAAAGCAAAGUUUCCCGGCUUUGCCUGGGCAGGAGGAAUAUUUUGGUUCAAUUCAAAGCAGACUUGAAGCCUCAUUGCAGUAUUAGGCUGGAGAUAAUUCUGCGGGGGACUCUGUAAGACUGGGGGGAUGCAAGAAAGAUGAUAUCCUCAAAUCUGGUGGUAUUGAUUAUGUCUGUCUGAGAAUGAAUAGAAUCACAACCUAUUAGUUGGGAGUUUUGUUUUUUGUUUCUGAAUCUUUGCAUUGACAAAGGAAUGGUUAUUUGGACUCUUCAAUUCUUAAUUUCUCCUAAAUACUGCCUCUAAGCCCUGUUGAAGGCUUGGUAUGAAUGGGAAUGAAACAGAUCUGACAAUAUGCAAGGUGGGGAGAAUCAAAAAAAGACAAGCUGCAUGCUUCCACAAAGCUGGUGGGAGUUUCUAGUACUCUUAGAAAAAUAUAAAAUUCUUACAGAUUCCUGGUUUGUUAUGCUGAGGGGAUUGCAGGCCAGGACCUGGUUAAUCACUAGACUCAUUAAGUGUUUCCAUUUCACAGUAUUUGUCAGAUAAAGCAGGCUGAGACCGUCUAGCACAUAGAGGUACAGGAAAAUCUGGUAUAUUUUUCAUGAGUAUCUUUUUAGACCUACAGAAGAGCAAAGUCAUGUACUUGAAUGACACACACAGAGUCACGUAUAUAUACACACAGACAUAUGCAUGUGUGCAUAUAUAUACACAAUAUUUUUACACAAAAUUAAUAAAAGCAUAUACUUUGCUAUGUAAAAAAGAAGGUAUAUCAGGCUCAACCAAAGAAGUAUCACUAGUAAGAUAUAUAAACUACUAUACAUACACAUGUAUCCACCAAACAUACAUAUAAACAUAUGUAUAUCUGCCUAGGAAUAUUCAUAUAAACGUAUGUAUAUCUGCCUAGGAAAAUCCAAACUCCAUAUGACAGGCCAUUAAGAAGCACAGGCUGGAAUUCUCAGGGAGAAGCUAAAGCUGCAGUCCAGAGGCAGAAUUUCUUCUUUCUUUGGUUAGUCUCAGCUCUGCUUUUAAGGGCUUGCAACUGAUUGAAUCAAGUACACCUAGGUUAUCUAGGAUACUUUCCUUUACUUAAAGUGAACUGAUUGUGGACUUUUUAUCACAUCUACAAAAUACCUUCAUGAGAUUAGCGUUUGAUUAAAUAACCAAGGACUAUAGUCUAGCUAAGUUGACACAUCAAACCAUCACAGAAAUUUAAUUAGUAAAUAAACUGAAAAAGAAAUGUCUGUUCCACUUAAUCCUAUCAUAACUUCAUUAAUAUUGACAUGCAAUGUUCAAAUUACACAGUAUUUUGUUUAACAAAACAAAUUAUCCAUAUCCUAGUUGGGAAACAUUUAGCCAUUAUGUUUAUGAAUAUAUUUAAAUAAUUAAAAAUGAUACAACUCUAUCUUAUGGACCAAAUAUUUGUCUCUUUUCAAAAUCCGUAUUUUGAAAUUCUAACCUCUAAUGUGAUAGUAUUUAAAAGCUGGGCCUUUUGGGAGGUAAUUAGGUCAUGAAGGUGGAACUGUCAUAAAUGGAAUUAAUGCUCUUAUAAAAGGGAUUCCAGAGCGCUCACUCUAUCUUUUCUGCCAUGUGAGGGUACAAUAAGAAGAUGGUAGUAUACAACCUGGGAAAGGGCCCUCACCAGCACCCGACCAUGCUGGCACCCUGAUCUCAGACUUCCAGACUCCAUCACUGUGAGAAAUAAAUUUAUGUUGCUUACAAGCCACACAGUUUAUGGUACUUUGUUUUAAUAGCCUGAAAUGACUAAGACACUAUGUUAUAUAUUUCAGACAAUUUUUUUACCCUUAUUCUGUUUGAAUUAGCUGUGUGUAUAAUCCUGUAUAUUGUUUGGCAAGUGACUUUUUUAUGAAGAAAGCAAAAAUUAAUAGAUUUUUUGGAGGUAUUAUAUAUUAUCUAAUACUCACCCAAAUCCUGUGAAAUGAGACUUAUUGUAUCUAUUUUGUAGUUGAAGAAAUUGAAGAUCGGAGAGGUUAAAUUGUCUGUGAUCAGGGAAUAAACAAGUGGGUGUUUUCCAGAUUGAAAUGGGGCCCAUUUCACAGUAUUUGUCAGAUAAAGCAGGCUGAGACCCUCUAGCACAUAGAGGUACAGGAAAAUCUGGUAUAUUUUUCAUGAGGAUCUUUUUAGACUUACCAAACAGCAAAGUCAUGUAGUUGAAUGACACACACAGAGACACAUAUAUAUACACAAGGCUUGUGUUUACCCCAAUGGGCUGUCUUUGCCCGUGACCAUCACCCACUGAUGAACACAGGCUCUACAUAACCAGGAAUUGUAGCAAAUGACCACAUCUAACAUUGAUUGUUCCUCUUUGCUUUUUAAUUAUCCAUCUAAUCUAAUUUUAGAAUUAGACUGAGUUAAUAAAACAGAAUCAGCAGAUGCUAAAGGAAAGUUCAUCUCCCAUCCCCCCGAGUCAGUUAACUGUUCUCAGGGAGGGAUGGGGAGAAGGGAAGUGAUUGGAAGCUAACCACAGAUCAAAUGCAGGGAAGGAGAGGAUGGACAGUGAUAAUUUAGGAGCAGUUGCAUGUAAGAAGACUUAGGUAUUCACCCUGGGGGGCUGUUACCAAAUAUGCUUGUCAAAUGUACUGGUAUCCUAAAGGAAUAGUGACUUUAAGAAGCAGAGGCCUGUGAUUGUCCUAUUUCUGAAUUUGUUCCUGAUUAUUUAAGUGACAUUGGGCAAAUCAUUUUACCUCUCAUUGUUUUCAUGUCUUCUCUUAAAAAAUACUGUGAAUUUUAUGAAACUUGCUCUGAACUGUCUCCAAGGGAAGGUG